UGAUACAUGAACCAGAGAGGAAGCCCUCCGCGAAGAGCGCUUGAACACGAAAGCGAAUGAAGCUGUUGAUGGACAAAGUGCCGGUGAAUAAUGAGCCCAGGAGUGGCCUACAUGGGACUGGUCCGCUGAACCUACACUCUCCAGCAACGUUUCUUUCUACUGAACUCAACUGCAGGCUGUGGGGGAAAUGGUGUGAGAACUGCCGGCCCUGUUUCACUCAACGGUUCAUCAAAGCAGAGACAUACAGCUUGUUGACGAUAAUGGCUCUCCUCACGGUGAAGUGGAAACAUCUAGGCAUGAGAAAACAGCAGUGCAGCGGACCUACCAUGUUCAGAAAGUGUUGACUCGUAGUUGCAUGUGUUGUGUACUACGUACGACUUGUUUCAAUGCACGGACUCUGAUUGCUACAUAUUUACACUAACUGCAUACAAUGAGUUCAUUUCUCA